GGGACGGCUCGGGGGCUGCCGCCGCCGCGGGGGGCACCGGAUUCUGUUAGGGGCUGGAGCCGUGGGGGUAGGCGGUUGAGCGGGGUUUUGGAGUGGGAACGGGGGGUUGGGUGCUUGAGGGAAAUGAGUAAGCAAGAAAAAUCUAAGUAAGUAAAUGCCCCGGCCUCCGGUUCUAGGAACCUCGGGCCGGGAGUGUCCGCCCCGGGGGGUGGGUAUGGUGUUUACAUGUAUCUUUUUCUAGGGGGCCGAUGGAUGGGCGAUUGAAAACCGGAGGGGGGGGGGGCUUCUCGCCAAUGGCCGAGUUGAGCUCUGUUUUCUGUCUUCUUCCCUUGUGCUGGAGGGGGAGGGGGGCGGGUCAGAGGGUAGGGUGUCUGUAGGAUUCCCAGGCCACCCGCCACCCCCUCCCUUUGUCCCUGUAAUUUAUAAAGCGCCUUUGAGAGAUGAUUUAGGUCAGUAUGCGGCUUCUCUUUUUGUUGAUACUCGAAAGAAGUGUGGCCCGGAGGUCUCUCCCCUUUCUCCUUUUUCUCCUUCAUUCCCUUCCUCCAUGGCUCCUGUCUUCACCCUCGUGGUGAGGCUUGGCCCCCACGAGGCUGGCAACCAACGAGAGUCAGAUAAAUGGUUGAUAAAUACCAGUCGUUGACCUCACCUUGUGUCAGUUCCAAAUGGGUUUGUUUUUUGGAGAAUCAAGAUUUUACAGGGGUCUUUAAGAAAGUCAGCACAUAGGCAGCACUUGGGGAAAUGAGACGGGUCUUGAAAUAACGAAAAUUUCUUAUUCCCAUACUCUUUCCAGUAUCUCCCAUGGCUGGGUCUUAACUGCUUUCCAGCCCCAGAGAUACUUGCUGAGGAUGUGUGAUAGUCUCAAAGAAGCUCCUGGUUUUUAGUGACAAGGGUCUGCCAGCAGGGGGGAGAUAGAGUUCAGUACCUACUUAGACACACUGUACCCAGUAUGCUGGAUCUCAGUCACAAGAAUAUUCCAUGCUUUUGGCGUUAAAUACUGUUACUUGACCUGACCUAAACAUGUUUGGAUAUAUUUUAAGCAUAUUGGCCCCUUACACAGUCGUGUUACUAUAUCAUAAACUUAACCGGAAACAACCAGCUAUUGACAUAAUUCUUGCAUUGGAUUCAGACUUAUGGGAGAGUACUUUUGACAAUGGGAAGUUAUGAGACCACCACCAGAUUGCUGGUGUUUUGUUUUUGUUUUUUUUUUGUUUUUUUUUUUUUUGACUCUUAGCCUGCUCUUGGAGCCUCCAAAACUUGUCUAGCCAAACUUCCCUGGACUUCAUUGUAUUUAAAGUGUAAAAAUUAUCCUCACUGGCUUCCAAGUUCUUUCAAAACUUUAUCUUUUUUGCCAUGAGAUUAUUAUUCCAAAGUCAUGAGCAUUGAACGUGAAGUGUGAUUUGCUUCUUAUCAAAAUUGUAUUAGACUGUGAUUCCAGUCUUGAAAUUUUGUUGAUCUUCUUUCCCUAAACCGGGAAUGACAGCAUGGGGAUGGCUGAGUGAUUGGCUGAGCAAAGAGACCAUUUAAACACUUUGUGUCCAAGAAGAGGUUGAGAAUUCUGUUCGGGAGGCCAGAGUUGCAGGCCCAGCUGGUUCUAGUUCUCAAGAACAUCUAAGAACUUAACGGGAGCAGAUCCUCACCUUUUGGGGAAGAAAAUAGGAGUACUACCUUACUGGCCAAGUCGUCUCUUAUCAUUUACAGGUUUCGUGCUCUUAGGCAAAUAACUUAAUUUCUCAAAACAGUUUUCCUCUUUUGUAAAAUAGGAACAACAGCAAUAUUGCCGUUAAGGUUUUUUUGAAGGGUUAAAUAUGAGAAUCCGUGUAAAACGCUUAGCACAGUGCCUGGCGAAUAGUAUAGAUGCCCAAUAAAACUACGAUCCAGAAAUGUUACUUCUUUUAUAACUUAGAGCAAUUGUAUGGGACCUCGUGUACAGCCCUCCUUUGUUUACAUGUAUGAGUAAAACGGUUACGAGUUUUCUAAAGGGAUAUGUCAUUCCUUAUACCCAAUUAGUCUGGGUUUUUCAAUCCACAAAACAUGGCUGUCCCAGCAAUGGGUAAAACGGGGGCAUGUCAGUAGGACAGGAAUAUUUAGAGAUGGUGUUGAACUGCCUGAGCAUGAUCUUGUGCCUUGGGUUGUGAUAAAUUUAGAUCGACUCAUCCCCACUUUUUUUUUGCCUGGGCUCCGCUCCUCCCAUGACGCCACGGACCUGCUAACUUUUGGGUGCAGUCUGUGUUUGGUGGCGUUUGUAGGACUGAACUGUCCGUCGUCACCAGGUCAGAGGCACGCUCUAGGUAAAUUCGUGUUCAGAUGGUGAACUGUUGGAAAUGGAAGAACUGUAGAGAACCAUAGAGGAGCUAUUUUCUGGAGCAGAAAGGACUUCAUCAUUUUCUCCCUUGUGGAUGAAAUUAUUUCAUCCCAGGCCUAGAAAAUUUGGGAUAUAUUAAUGCAAGAGACAGUGGCCUUUCACAUCUGAUUUAAUUUAAUCCAGUCACAGCAGCCUGCUGAUUACACUUUGGGAAAGAACCCACAUGCUUGAAAUUUCUGUGUAAGAAUGGAGGAAACAUAGACCAUGUAUAUAGCCGGGACUGGUUUUCUUCCUGUGCAAGUAUAAAAGAAAAAUGCUGGGUUCCUGUGGUUCUAUACUCAAUAAUCUUGCUUCUGCUGAGAUACAUGAUUGAUGCCAAGUUUAAACUAGGAGAGGAUUUUUAGUCGCUACAUACCCCAAAAUGGAAGUUUUAAUAUAAUGCGGUGCCCAGACGCGGGCAGUGCAAAUAGCUCCACUAUAAUCAGUACCAAGGGCACCACUCUAAUCAUCCUCUGAGACAAAGCACCCUCAACUGUGGCCCUGUGAGCUAAGGAACCCAAGCUUGCAAACAGGGAAGGAUUUUUUGUCGUCGUUGUUGUUUUUCUAGAAGUCGUCACCUUGGAAGAGUAGAUUCGGGGAUUAAUGCUGCUCUGUGUAAAGCUGCCUUGAAAACAAAAUAAUGCUCAAAGCUUAGACCUGAAUAAAAAGCAGCACCUGCAGAUUUAGAGGCUGUGAGGGGAAAGUUGCUUUUAUUCUUGUUUUUCAGAGGUCUGAUGCAGUAGUUUCCUUUUAACUUUUCUGUCUUUAUUGCCUCCCUAGAGAUCUACCACCCACCCCUUUAACCCCUUUCCACAGGACUGGGAUCCAUUUGGCAAAGCUUCAGAUAGUCUGCGUUCAUUUUCUGGCUGUUUUUCUGAUUUCAUGGGAUUUCCUUGUCUUCCACUUGGCCGGGCCAACCAGCUCCCAUUCCUUUUUGAACCACCUAUUUCCCCACCAAUGUUUUGAAACCAGGAGGAGUGAAAACCAACACUGGCUCGUGCUCAUGAUAUCCAGUCCCGUGUCGGUGCCCGCGAAAUCACCCCCAAAGCGUGCACAGCACAGAAGUAGAUUUCGGUUCUUAAUCAGAUUCUCUGUUUCCAUUCAGUUUUUAAAAAGGAACUUUUCCUGAAUUCUUUGAGGUGAAGAAAUUAAGCCCCAGCGGAGUUCAGUUACUUUCCCAAGGUCACAAGCUAGCUAAUGGCAAAGCCAGGACUGAAACUGGAGACUUUGAAUUCUUAGAGGAAGCCUCAUUCACCAAGAGAAAGUUAACCGCGUCUCAUGUGCUCUAGAUGGGGAAAUUGGGAUGUGUAGAAAACUCCCUUUUAGGAGUGGUGACAUUUUUUUUUUUUAAUGGGCACCCAUGGAAGUGUCUUUUGAACAGUGGGUCUUGGAGUAACAACCCAUUCUAAAGAUUCAGGAUAAGCAAAGCUAUUUUAGAUGUCAAAUGAAGGGGAAUUUUUUUUAAAUUUUUUUUUUAAUGGAAGGGGUGACUGGCUUAUAUAAAACAAUAUUUUUAACGUUUUGUUAUUUACAAGUUUGUUCUCUGUGUACGUGACAUUUUCUGGCACUUAAAAGGUGAAAGAUGGACUUUACAGAGAAUAGAACCUAAAAGGAUUUCUGAAACUUUGUUCAGGACAGGGGCACACCGUGGAGCUCUGGUACUGGAAGUUCUAUCCUGGGCCAUCCACACCCUCAGUGGCUUGGAGUGGCUUUCACAGGUCCCCAGGUACUUGGCCGGUGACGCUGGAUUAGAUGCUCUUCCUGCAGCAAGACUUCUGGUUUAACAAAGUGACUGGCCUGUUAAUUCUUGGCAGAGGAAGCCACCGUCCCCUAAAACCCAGAACUAAUUUCAUUAAAAUGUCUUCUUUUACGCGUGGAACCGAGAAAGCUUAAAAAUAGAAUCCCUUCAAGCCCUGAAGCCUAAAAGUGAAACAUAAUCUGAGGUGGCUGUGGUUCCUCCACUCGUUAGGGGCUCGGAUCUGUGGCCUGUCUGUAAUCCCCAAAACAGAGAGGGGCCGGGGAUAGAGAUGGUCUCCCAGCCAGCGAGCAGGAGGCAGCACGAUGCUGGCAGUUGUCAUCAGUGAGACUCCUUUUCCCAGAAGAAUGUUUUGGUAAAUGGAGCCCGUCUUUCAGGGAGCAAGAAGCUGAAUGCCCUUGGUCCUCCCGGCCAGCUCCUCCUGCCUGGCUCCCCUGGAGAUCCUUUUGGCUCCUCCGGCAUGCUCCUGCCCGAACUUGCUGAGAAGGGCUUCUCCACGCUCUGGUUUUCAUGACCCCAAAUGCUGUGGCUCCCAACACCGGAGUGAACUCCUAGCCUUUUGGGCUCACCCCUCCUUUGCCCUCUGCCAUUUCUACUCCAAGGCUCUAGAGAUAGAAAACCAGAGCUGUAGCGCCAUGGCCCCAAACACCAUCCCUUUUGAGCCCUUCUGGGUCUGGCAGGCCUUGGGAGAGAGGGGGGCCCAUGCGUACAAGACCUCACCCUCACCUAAAAGAUGAAAAGUGAAGGGUCGGACGAUGGAGUCUGGAGCCAGAGUGCCUGAGUUCUAAUUGUGGUUCCACCUGCCGGCUGUGUGGCCUGGGGCUUACCACUUGCUCUGUGUCUUAAUGUCCUCACCUGUAAAAUGGGAAGAUCGUAGCACCUACCUCCUGGGGUUGGAAGAUGGACCACCAGCCUGUGUUCGUUUAAACCCAAUUCCACCUCCACAGAUGGCGGCGAUGGGCAGGAGGGGUGAGGCACGGGGCUGCUUUCUCCUGACGUAGCUGUUUGGAUCUGUGGCUCUUUAUAAGCUGUGCACUGACUUGGGAGAAGGAACAGAAAAAUAAGCUCCUUAUUACAAUAGAACUAGCAGUAGUAACAGCAUCGUGACUAAAAUCUUUAUUUCUGUGAUUAAAUGUGUUAAUAAAGUUGUACUGUUAACAUGA